AGGGUUCGAUCAUGGCUCAGGACGAACGCUGGCGGCAUGCCUAACACAUGCAAGUCGAACGAGAAAGUUCCUUCGGGAGCGAUUAAAGUGGCGCACGGGUGAGUAACGCGUAGACAAUCUGCCCUUCAGUCUGGGACAACUUUUCGAAAGGAGAGCUAAUACCGGAUGACAAUGUAACACAUAAGUGUCACAUUUGAAAGCUCCGGCGCUGAAGGAGGGGUCUGCGUCCCAUUAGCUAGUUGGUAAGGUAAAGGCUUACCAAGGCGACGAUGGGUAGCGGGUUUGAGAGGACGAUCCGCCACACUGGAACUGAGACACGGUCCAGACUCCUACGGGAGGCAGCAGUGGGGAAUAUUGCACAAUGGAGGCAACUCUGAUGCAGCAAUGUCGCGUGAGUGAAGAAGGCCCUUGGGUCGUAAAGCUCUUUUAUGGGGGAAGAUGAUGACGGUACCCCAAGAAUAAGCACCGGCUAACUACGUGCCAGCCGCCGCGGUAAUUC
rnacentral:rRNA from 1 species